AUUGAACGCUGGCGGCAUGCCUUACACAUGCAAGUCGAACGGCAGCACGGGUGCUUGCACCUGGUGGCGAGUGGCGAACGGGUGAGUAAUACAUCGGAACAUGUCCUGUAGUGGAGGAUAGCCCGGCGAAAGCCGGAUUAAUACCGCAUACGAUCUACAGAUGAAAGCGGGGGACCUUCGGGCCUCGCGCUAUAGGGUUGGCCGAUAGCUGAUUAGCUAGUUGGUGGGGUAAAGGCCUACCAAGGCGACGAUCAGUAGCUGGUCUGAGAGGACGACCAGCCACACUGGGACUGAGACACGGCCCAGACUCCUACGGGAGGCAGCAGUGGGGAAUUUUGGACAAUGGGCGAAAGCCUGAUCCAGCAAUGCCGCGUGUGUGAAGAAGGCCUUCGGGUUGUAAAGCACUUUUGUCCGGAAAGAAAUCCUUGGCUCUAAUACAGUCGGGGGAUGACGGUACCGGAAGAAUAAGCACCGGCUAACUACGUG
rnacentral:rRNA from 1 species